rnacentral:rRNA from 1 species
UACGGGGGGAGCAAGCGUUGUUCGGAUUUACUGGGCGUAAAGGGCGCGUAGGCGGUCAGCACAAGUCAGUUGUGAAAUCUCCGAGCUUAACUCGGAAAGGUCAACUGAUACUGUGCGACUAGAGUGCGGAAGGGGCAACUGGAAUUCUCGGUGUAGCGGUGAAAUGCGUAGAUAUCAAGAGGAACACCUGCGGCGAAGGCGGGUUGCUGGGCCGACACUGACGCUGAGGCGCGAAAGCUAGGGGAGCGAACGGG